UACGUAGGGUGCAAGCGUUAUCCGGAAUUAUUGGGCGUAAAGAGCUCGUAGGCGGUUUGUCGCGUCUGCUGUGAAAACCCGAGGCUCAACCUCGGGCCUGCAGUGGGUACGGGCAGACUAGAGUGUGGUAGGGGAGACUGGAAUUCCUGGUGUAGCGGUGAAAUGCGCAGAUAUCAGGAGGAACACCGGUGGGCGAAGGCGG
rnacentral:rRNA from 1 species